GCUGGGUAUGGUGGCACACACCUGUAAUCCCAGCAGCUUGGAGGCUGAGGCAGGAGGAUUGCAAAUUUAAAGCCAGCCUCAGCAAAGUGAGGCACUAAGCAACUCAGGGAGACCCUGUCUCAG
rnacentral:sRNA from 1 species